ensembl:lncRNA
CUAUGGGGCAGCUAUGGGGCGGAUGGGGGUCACCGCCCUAUGGGGCAGCUAUGGGGCAGCUAUGCAUCAUGGCCCUAUGGGGCAGCUAUGGGGCAGCUAUGGGGCGGGGUGGGGGUCACGUCCCUAUGGGGCAGCUAUGGGGCAGGUGGGGGUCACGGCCCUAUGGGGCAGCUAUGGAGAGGGUGGCAGUCACAGCCCUAUGGGGACAUCUAUGGGGCAGCUAUGGGGCAGCUAUGGGGCAGAGCCGUGGGGCAGGGCUAUGGGGCAGCUAUGGGGCAGAGCUAUGGGGCAGCUAUCGGGAGGCUAUGGGACGGCUCUGGGGCAGCUAUGGGUCAGAGCUAUGGGGCAGGGCUACGGGGCAGCUAUGGGGCAGGGCUAUGGGUCGGAGCUAUGGGGCAGCUAUGGGGCAGCUAUGGGUCGGAGCUAUGGGACAGCUAUGGGGCAGCUACAGGCCGGCUAUGGGGCAGCUAUGGGUCAGAGCUACGGGUCGGAGCUAUGGGUCGGAGCUAUGGGGCGGCUAUGGGUCGGAGCUAUGGGGCGGCUAUGGGUCGGAGCUAUGGGGCAGGGCUACGGGUCGGAGCUAUGGGUCGGAGCUACGGGGCGGCUAUGGGGCGGCUAUGGGGCAGGGCUACGGGUCGGAGCUAUGGGACAGCUACGGGUCGGAGCUAUGGGUCGGGGCUAUGGGGCGGCGCCGUGGGGCGGCGUUAGGCGGGGGCGACGUGGCUGGAGGAGACGGAGGAGACCUGCGUGGCCUGCGAGGAGCCCGACACGUCCUCGUCGUCCCCGAACGGACUGCGGCCGCAGAACAGCAGCUUCAGCAUGCACGAGCGGAACUGCAACGGCACCGCGUCAGCGCCGCCGGCAGCGGCGGGGGGCAGUGGGGCACUGAGCAUCUAUGGGGCGCGGGGGCAGUGGGGGG